rnacentral:rRNA from 1 species
UCGAACGAAGCACUGAAAGCGGAUUACUUCGGUUUGAAGCUUUCUUUGACCGAUUGGCGGACGGGUGAGUAACGCGUGGGUAACCUGCCUCAUACAGGGGGAUAACAGUUAGAAAUGACUGCUAAUACCGCAUAAGCGCACGGUUUCGCAUGGAACAGUGUGAAAAACUUUAGUGGUAUGAGAUGGACCCGCGUCUGAUUAGCUGGUUGGUGAGGUAACGGCCCACCAAGGCGACGAUCAGUAGCCGGCCUGAGAGGGUGAACGGCCACAUUGGGACUGAGACACGGCCCAAACUCCUACGGGAGGCAGCAGUGGGGAAUAUUGCACAAUGGGGGAAACCCUGAUGCAGCGACGCCGCGUGAAGGAAGAAGUAUUUCGGUAUGUAAACUUCUAUCAGCAGGGAAGAAAAUGACGGUACCUGACUAAGAAGCCCCGGCUAACUACGUGCCAGCAGCCGCGGUAAUACGUAGGGGGCAAGCGUUAUCCGGAUUUACUGGGUGUAAAGGGAGCGUAGGCGGUUUAGCAAGUCAGAAGUGAAAGCCCGGGGCUCAACUCCGGGACUGCUUUUGAAACUGUUGAACUAGAUUGCAGGAGAGGUAAGUGGAAUUCCUAGUGUAGCGGUGAAAUGCG